rnacentral:lncRNA from 1 species
AGGGCAGUUUGGCUGCAAGGCGUUUGUUCCGGUUUCUCAAAGACCUGAUAUGACAAGCCUCCUCACUGGCCUGCAAUUGAAGCUUGGGAUGGAGGAGUCUUCUCGUGUUCAUGAGCUGCAAGACAUCAUUGACAAUCUUAGAAAAUAUCUCACAAAUAAGAGGUACUACUCAUUCACUUCUUCCUUGUGCAAAGUUAUGUUAGUUUUGAAUAACUGUGUGAUUCGUUCAACGUUCAACCUACUACUAUAUAGUCGUGCUUGUUAACUUAAUUGUAACCUUCUUGUUAGAUCAAACUUACAUCUGGGUUUCCUGUCUACAUGUAUAGAUUCAUGCAAACAGCUUAUAUAGUUAUGUACUUUAAAAAAAAGCUUAUAUAGUUAUGUGACAUAUGGUAGAAAUCAUAUGUUUUGAUGAUGUUAAUUUAUUUUUUCAAAUAUUUUCAUGAUGUUUUGAAUGGUGAAUUGGUGCACAACAUGCCCUCCUGUUCUAUCUAUGAGUAGAGUGUGGCCCAGGGCAAACUGCUGCAACAAAGAGGACGAUCCAUCAUAAGUUUAACCGUCUUAAUUAGUUUUUCCUUUUAGAACAACUCAUACAGUUUUCUUUGACUGAAAAUAUAAUACAUAUAAUUAAUUAUAAUAUAUCGUAGAAGUCAACUUAUUCGAUUUACCCAAAUAAAGAAGAUAAAAAUCCAAGUAAUGUUGCCUAAGCGAAGCAUUAUUUCUAAGCUAAAAAAAACUUCACUAUUACCGAUCUUGUUAACAUGUCACCUAUGUUGUUAAUUGGAUGUUAAAUAUCUAAAUAUAUAUGUGCCUGCUAAUUUACAGAUGUACUCCCUCCGUCCCAUAUUAACUGACGAAAUAUUACAUGUACCUAGAUGUUUUUUUAAUAUAAAUACAUUCAUAUUUGGGUAAAUUUGAGUCACUUAAUAUGGGACGGAGGGAGUAGCAGAUAUGUUUUACAUUCUUUUCAUGUGAUUUAAAGAGUUUUGAUACUUCAGUCGCAAUUUAAAAUCAUAUAGCCUAUGCUGCAAUAUUAACUUCUGCAUAUAAUACAACAGGUACCUUAUUGUAGUUGACGACCUGUGGGAUCACUCUGCAUGGAACGCAAUUAGUUGUGCCUUUCCAGAGAAUGGUACAGGGAGUAGAAUAAUAGUGACCACACGAGUAGAAGAUGUUGCUCGUGGGGCUUGUUUCAAUCACCGUGAGUGCAUUUAUAGAAUGAAGCCACUCAAAGAGGAGGAGUCAAGAAGGUUAUUCUUUAAUAGAGUAUUUGGGUCCGAAGAUGCCUGCCCACAGCAAUUUGAAGAAAUCUCGGAUGAAAUUCUGAAGAAGUGUGGUGGACUGCCACUUGCAAUCAUCACUAUAGCUAGUCUGUUAGCCAGUCAUCAAGCAGGAUCAAGAAGCGACUGGGAGAGCAUCAGGAAUUCUCUGGGUGCCAAGUUUGCCACAAAACCCACACUGGAAGAGAUGAGGAGUAUACUAAACCUUAGCUACAUGCAUAUUCCUCUUCAUCUUCGUGUAUGUUUUCUAUACCUUGGUAUGUAUCCAGAGGACCAUGAGAUCAACAGGGAUGAUCUGGUUCGGCAAUGGAUAGCAGAAGGCUUCGUCAAUCAUUUGCAUGGAUCAGAUUUGGAGGAUGUUGGUAAGAGCUAUUUCAAUGAGCUUAUCAACAGAAGCAUGAUUCAAUCUGGUUCAAUCAAGUAUGGGGAGGUUGUGUCAUGCAGGGUGCACGAUAUGAUGCUUGACUUGAUCCUAAGCAAGUGUGCAGAAGAUAAUUUUAUAUGCGUGGCAUAUAAUUCUGAAGAUGUGGCGAGAAUGCAUGGUUCGGAGUACAAGGUCCGUCGGCUGUCCUUGGGAUCUAGUUCUGGGGAUGCAACAUCAAGGGCCAUUGAUACAAGCAUGUCACAAGUCAGAUCAUUCUCCCGGUUUGGAGAGUCCAAGUAUGCACCUCCUCUCACACGGUUUAAGCAUCUCCGGAUGCUUCUCUUCAAGAUCCCAUACAAGAGGAACAUGAUCGUGGACCUCACUGCUAUCGGACAAUUGUUCCAACUGAGGUAUCUACAUGUUUCAGCAGAAUCAGGCUGCAUAGAGCUCCCUGCUGAAGUUCGAGGGCUUGUUAAUCUGGAGACACUGGAGAUAUAUGCCCGAUUGGAGGGGAGCCUCCCGUCAGAUAUCUAUCUCUUGUCUCGCUUGACCCGUCUGAUUCUUCCAUACCGUGUGAAGCUGCCUGAAAGGCUCAAGAACAUGAAAUCACUGCACACCCUGUGUUGUUCUAACACCUGGGAGAGCUCUCUGGAGGACCUCAAGGGCCUCGGCGAGCUGCCCAACAUAAGGGAGCUGUCGAUGUGCACUUACCAGCGGGACAUGGUGGACGGAGCCGUCGACGCUUUGCUCUACUCCGUUGGAAGCCUCCGGAAGCUCAGAUCCCUCAGCCUCAACUGCAGGUUCUCCGUAAAUUAUGAUGAAGCCAGGCACACGAUAACCAACCCUCCCCCAUUCAUCGAGAAGCUGAUCCUCCGAGGACGGAGGUUCAACAGGGUUCCCAGGUUCAUCGGUGAACUUCGUUUUCUCCGCAGCGUGUCUAUGCACGUCGUGCAGUUCCCGACUGAUGAGGUUCAUGUCGUUGGGAACCUGUCCUCCCUUGUCAAGCUCCGGAUCUGGGAUAUGCAUGUCCCCGAAGACGGGGCUGCUGUAAUCGGCGCAGGGCUGUUCCCCGCCCUGGAGGUUCUUGUGCUCGUCUCUGACGAUGAUGAUGUCACGGCUUGCAUGAAGUUCGAGGCAGCAGGGGUGAUGCCCAGCCUGCGACGGCUCACUCUGAGGUUAUGUCAUAGCUGGCGCGGUGCUGCACCGGUCGGCCUGGAGCACCUGUUGGCCCUCGAGCAGAUCCGUUUGGAGAUCAGCUCAUCCGUCCAUGAGCACCAUAGUCUUGCUGAGUCUACCUUCAGGAUCGCCGCAGAAGCGCACCCGAGACAUCCUUCAGUUAUGAUUAAUGUCUUGUGAUGAACCGGCCUGCUUUGUAAGUUAAAUUAAAUAGUGUCCCUCCCAGGACGGACAAGGACCCAGGGUCCAAGUCCACUUAGUUAUUUUAAGUAUCUGAGAGUCUGGGUUUGGAGAUAGAAAGGUUUCGUCCCGUAGAAGGUUUUCCCUACUGUUUUCAAAUCUUAUAUCUAUAUAUAUAUUUCAGAGUUUGUAAUUAUUUGGUCAUAUCUGAAUCUUGGCUACCUGGAUACAGUUCCUGCAUGAUCUGAAUAAUUAUUUGUAAUGUGUUCCAUCAAACACACUUAGAACCUGUUUGGGAGACUCAGUAUUUGUUGGUACAAUUUUGGUAUGAAUACUAAAACUUCACCAAUGAAUACCAAUCUUCCAAACAGCCCCUAAAGGUGUAUAACAGAUUCAGUUUCAGUUGCUGAUAUGAGCACACGCAAUUGUUUGCUAACAUAAACACCUCAGCAUACACUAGUUUACAUUUCAAAGGACUUUACGAGCUUUUAACCAAGUGAUUACGUGAACAAGAUCAUGUGGAAACUGUAUUCAGGUAGCCAAAAGAUUCAGGUACGACCAACUCUGGCAUUUUCAAUUACAGGGUGUGCUGAGCAACUAAAAAAUAAACAAAAUUCAUGCUUGGCAAAUACAAGGAAGUAAAAGAAGUAAAAAUUCAAGGCACGAUUUAAGUUACAAAGGAGGCCAACUAAAAUAAUUAUUGGAUCUAACAGAAGGAUGUCUUGGGUGCACCUGUACGGUAUUCUUGAGGGGGGGGCGUCAAAAUCAAUGAAGAGGCGAACAAUGGACUCCAAGCAUCAAGCGGUGGAGAGGGAGGCGUCGAAAUCAAUCAGGAGGUUGAUACGGUGGCGGCAAAUCCAUGGGAAAGACGGAGAUCAAAAGAGGCGGCGGCGGCGGAAAAUCCAGUGGGACUGGGAGAGGCGGAAACGAGGGCAUGCCGUGAAGCCGGCAGAUCUGCUUGCGGAGAUUGAGGCUGGCAGAGGUAGCGGUGUAUGCGGGGUUUUGCGGCGGGAGGCGGAGGCGACGCCGGUGGCCAUGGCAGAGGGCGAGGUAAGGAAAGAGAAGCAGAUCGAACCAGCCUCCCCCAUUCCUACCACGGCCCGACCUGCUCGGCUGCCAAGGCCCAAUUAAAGCCCAGAAUGGGUCCAGGUGAAGCUAAAUUGAACAAAGUUCUUCCUCUUCUGGAUCUAAACUUUUUCCCUCAAAAAAGAUAAACUGUGUAUCGAAGCCCUCGAUUCAUUAUUGUAUCCAAAAUUCCGAGAGCAUGGUGAAGCCAAAGCUGAACAAAUUUGUCGUGCUACCGACUGAUGUAAUAGAGCCGGUGCUGCAGU